rnacentral:miRNA from 1 species
AGUGGACAUGGGUGGUACUGUGUAA